AUACGUAGGUGGCAAGCGUUGUCCGGAAUUAUUGGGCGUAAAGCGCGCGCAGGUGGUUCCUUAAGUCUGAUGUGAAAGCCCCCGGCUCAACCGGGGAGGGUCAUUGGAAACUGGGGAACUUGAGUGCAGAAGAGGAUAGUGGAAUUCCAAGUGUAGCGGUGAAAUGCGUACAGAUUUGGAGGAACACCAGUGGCGAAGGCGACUGUCUGGUCUGUAACUGACACUGAGGCGCGAAAGCGUGGGGAGCAAACAGGAUUAGAUACCCUGGUAGUCCACGCCGUAAACGAUGAGUGCUAAGUGUUGGGGGGUUUCCGCCCCUCAGUGCUGCAGCUAACGCAUUAAGCACUCCGCCUGGGGAGUACGGUCGCAAGACUGAAACUCAAAUGAAUUGACGGGG
rnacentral:rRNA from 1 species